CCUAUCUUCCCAGAGUGCAUUUUGCCAGUAAUGCAUCCAUGCUAUGACUGCUGCUCUGGGCAAACAACCUUUUCUGCAGGAAAGCAAGUAAUUCUGAUUGGAAUGAAUGGUCGAUACAAUGUGUCCCUCCCAACUGUCAGCUGCUCCUGUGGGAAAGCUUUGGAUGUCGGUAUUAGUGAGCUGAUUGAAAGUGGCUACUGGCCAGCUACAGUCCAUUUUGAGACGCUGUACACAGUGGAUUUGUUCGCUACAUACGAAGAGCUCAAGAUUACUGCACCAGGAAUGUAACGACAAGCUUUCGUUGAAUUGAAAGAGUUUAUGUGGCGACACCAUACAAAAAUCAUUCCUGGAAUGGUCGUACGCAAAAUUUGAAGUUGAGAGGCUGUCUGAAGUCGAUCAGUUUCGGU